UGUUACAAUGGGGGGUACAGAGGGCCGCUACCACGCGAGUGGAUGCCAAUCCCUAAAACCCCUCUCAGUUCGGACUGGAGUCUGCAACCCGACUCCACGAAGCUGGAUUCGCUAGUAAUCGCGCAUCAGCCACGGCGCGGUGAAUACGUUCCCGGGCCUUGUACACACCGCCCGUCAAGCCAUGGGAGCCGGGGGUACCUGAAGUGCGUAACCGCGAGGAUCGCCCUAGGGUAAAACUGGUGACUGGGGCUAAGUCGUAACAAGGUAUC
rnacentral:rRNA from 1 species